UUUGAAAGUAAUAUAAUACAGUGCUAGUCAGAAUUUCACCAUUGACAGCUAUUUCAGCAUGGAACCAAACUGCAUUUGACCUCACUCUUCUCCCAUUAUUGGAGACAGAUAAUUUUGGCCCUGUAUACUUCCACAAAUAUUUAAAAUCAACAUCUACUACUACUACUACGCUUCAAUCUCCAACUAGUUUUUUUUUGAUUUGCACCGGGUGUCCGAGUCUCUUCGAGCCCCGACUAUUCCCGGGGGUGCACAGGCCCUCGGCAAGGAGUUUCCCGCAAGUGCACCACGGUUAAUUCAGGUUUUACCCAGUCCGAUGGCCCUCAGAAAUUGUUUGCACCCAGUGGGUUUCGAACUUGAGACCUUGAAAGGGAGCAAACCCCAAGGCUCAAGUCAAUUGCNNNNNNNNNNNNNNNNNNNNNGGUUUCGAACUUGAGACCUUGAAAGGGAAGGCAAACCCCAAGGCUCAAGUCAAUUGCCACCAGGCCAACCCCUGAGGGUUUCAAUCUCCAACUAGUUGGAAUCGCUUUAUGGAUCCUCACUG
rnacentral:lncRNA from 1 species